UACGAAGGGGGCUAGCGUUGUUCGGAAUUACUGGGCGUAAAGCGCACGUAGGCGGAUUUGUAAGUCAGGGGUGAAAUCCCGGGGCUCAACCUCGGAACUGCCUUUGAUACUGCAAGUCUCGAGUCCGAUAGAGGUGAGUGGAAUUCCUAGUGUAGAGGUGAAAUUCGUAGAUAUUCGGAAGAACACCAGUGGCGAAGGCGGCUCACUGGACUGGUAUUGACGCUGAGACGCGAAAGCGUGGGGAGCAAACAGG
rnacentral:rRNA from 1 species